AGCGGCGGAUGGGUGAGUAACACGUGGGGAACCUGCCCCUAAGUCUGGGAUACCAUUUGGAAACAGGUGCUAAUACCGGAUAAUAAAGCAGAUCGCAUGAUCAGCUUUUGAAAGGCGGCGUAAGCUGUCGCUAAGGGAUGGCCCCGCGGUGCAUUAGCUAGUUGGUAAGGUAACGGCUUACCAAGGCGACGAUGCAUAGCCGAGUUGAGAGACUGAUCGGUCACAUUGGGACUGAGACACGGCCCAAACUCCUACGGGAGGCAGCAGUAGGGAAUCUUCCACAAUGGACGCAAGUCUGAUGGAGCAACGCCGCGUGAGUGAAGAAGGUUUUCGGAUCGUAAAGCUCUGUUGUUGGUGAAGAAGGAUAGAGGUAGUAACUGGCCUUUAUUUGACGGUAAUCAACCAGAAAGUCACGGCUAACUACGUGCCAGCAGCCGCGGUAAUACGUAGGUGGCGAGCGUUGUCCGGAUUUAUUGGGCGUAAAGCGAGCGCAGGCGGAAAAAUAAGUCUAAUGUGAAAGCCCUCGGCUUAACCGAGGAACUGCAUCGGAAACUGUUUUUCUUGAGUGCAGAAGAGGAGAGUGGAACUCCAUGUGUAGCGGUGGAAUGCGUAGAUAUAUGGAAGAACACCAGUGGCGAAGGCGGCUCUCUGGUCUGCAACUGACGCUGAGGCUCGAAAGCAUGGGUAGCGAACAGGAUUAGAUACCCUGGUAGUCCAUGCCGUAAACGAUGAGUGCUGAGUGU
rnacentral:rRNA from 1 species